rnacentral:rRNA from 1 species
AUUGAACGCUGGCGGCAGGCCUAACACAUGCAAGUCGAACGAGUGGCGGACGGGUGAGUAAUGUCUGGGAAACUGCCUGAUGGAGGGGGAUAACUACUGGAAACGGUAGCUAAUACCGCAUACCAUCGGAUGUGCCCAGAUGGGAUUAGCUAGUAGGUGGGGUAAAGGCUCACCUAGGCGACGAUCCCUAGCUGGUCUGAGAGGAUGACCAGCCACACUGGAACUGAGACACGGUCCAGCUUCCUACGGGAGGCAGCAGGGGGGAAUAUUGCACAAGGGGGGCAACCCGGACGCAGCCAUGCCGCGUGGAGGAGGAAGGCCUUCGGGUUGUAAAGUUCUUUCAGCGGGGAGGCGUUACCUACAGAAGAAGCACCGGCUAACUCCGUGCCAGCAGCCGCGGUAAUAC